rfam:Capsicum annuum cultivar Zunla-1 chromosome 4, whole genome shotgun sequence
UGAUGAUGGCGAGGGCACUUUCUAAGCUUACCCUUAAGUCUUUCCCAUGCUUUGAAAAUAUUUUCUCCUUCUUUCAGGCUGAAAGUCAAAAUCUCUCUUCUCAAAUA